UCCUGGCUUAGGACGAACGCUGGCGGCGUGCUUAACACAUGCAAGUUGAACGGUAUGACAUGGAAGCUUGCUGAAGUGUCAUAUAGUAGCGGACGGGUGAGUAAUGCAUGAGAAGCUGCCAUUGGGAGGGGGACAACAGUUGGAAACGGCUGCUAAUACCCCGUAUGCCGGAGGGUGAAAGGGAGUAAUCCGCCCGAUGAGGUGCUCAUGUCCUAUCAGCUGGUUGGUGGGGUAACGGCCUACCAAGGCGACGACGGGUAGCCGGCCUGAGAGGGUGAACGGCCACACUGGAACUGAGAUACGGUCCAGACUCCUACGGGAGGCAGCAGUGGGGAAUAUUGGGCAAAGUGGGGGCAACCCUGACCCAGCGACGCCGCGGUGGGGGAAGACGGCCUUCGGGUUGUAAACCUCUUUUGUACGGGAAGAAGGAAGUGACGGUACUGUACGAAUAAGUCCCGGCUAACUACGUGCCAGCAGCCGC
rnacentral:rRNA from 1 species